GCUCAGUUUCUGUCCCUUUUCAUUCCCUAUCCCUGUGUAGAGAGGAUAGAUCUGCUGCAAGUUUAAGAUGUGAAGGACAGUAUGAAGGAUAGUGGAAAAGGAGACAGUGAAAUGAAUGACAGCAGUUCUGAUAUCAGUAGAGAGGGCUUCAAGAAAACAUCUUUUGUGUGGUUGCAAAGUAAGAGGAGAGGAAGGAAGAGGGAGAAAGAAACAUCAAUGAUGAGAAAGAAUCAUUGAUUGGCCACCUCCUG